rnacentral:rRNA from 1 species
AAUCAACGCUGGCGGCGUGCCUCAGACAUGCAAGUCGAACGAUUAAAGCUCUCUUCGGAGAGUGCAUAGAGUGGCGCACGGGUGAGUAACACGUAAGUAAUCUACCUUCGAGUGGGGAAUAACAUCGGGAAACCGAUGCUAAUACCGCAUAAUGCAGCGGCAUCGCAAGAUGACAGUUGUUAAAGAUUUAUCGCUUGAAGAGGAGCUUGCGGCAGAUUAGCUAGUUGGUAAGGUAAUGGCUUACCAAGGCUACGAUCUGUAACCGGUCUAAGAGGACGGUCGGUCACACUGACACUGAAUAACGGGUCAGACUCCUACGGGAGGCAGCAGUCGGGAAUUUUGGGCAAUGGGCGAAAGCCUGACCCAGCAACGCCGCGUGAAGGAUGAAAUCCCUCGGGAUGUAAACUUCGCAAGAACGGGAAGAA